CAGAAAUUAUAAGCAUUUCAAAUUAUUUUUUAGGGAUCUCUCUGAAAACUUUUUAUCAUGUAUACCUUCAGAGAUACUUGAAAGGCAACAAGUUCCGUCAGUUGAUGGAAAAAACUUUUGAAAAACUUACAAACCUAGAGACAUUGAAUCUUGCUAAUAACUCUCUGACCGCAAUAGCACCAGAGUUAUUUAAAAAUCUUACUAAACUGGAGACUUUAGACCUCUCCAACAAUUAUUUAUUUUAUAUUGAAACAACCACUUUCCGGACUUUAAAAUCAUUGAAAAACUUAUUACUGGAAAAUAACGACUUCCGGUAUAUAGCAGGAGGGACUUUCUACAAUUUAUUGGCUUUACAAACACUGAAAAUUACAUUGUCCAAAGAGCUCUCCUGUUGUUCAAUUUUACAUAACUAUGAAACUUUUAAAAGAUUUAAAACACUUACAACCGAGUGUACAAUGGACGGAAGGGUUGUCGAUUUCUCAGUUGUCUCUUGUUCUGCCCUAGGUCCCAG